AGUCUAUUCCUACUCAAACCUCAAUGGUUGGUCACAAUUCAGUGCAAACAUGUGCUGUCUGAAAUUCAUUUUGCUGCUGCUCAUUUCAUCACAUAUAAGUGGUGACUGUCAGAUCAAUUUCAGUGUGAAAGGAGGAAGAAAUGUUUGCUCCGGUCAGGACUUUAACCUCACAUGUCGGCUGGAUUGUAAUAGUCAAAUAAUCCAUUUAAAACUGGUGAAAGAAGGACAAAUUCAGUAUAGUCUUGAGUCUUGGCAUAAUGUCUCACUACACAUUCACAGUGCAAAUACGAAUCAUUCAGGAAUAUAUAGCUGCCAAGCAGGGAAUGGUCAAACGAGCAGGCUUUCUGUAGCAGUGGGAGACUGUAGUUUUUCUUCAACUUAUAUACCAGAAUAUUUACCCACUGUAAAUACAACUUCAUCCUCUCUGACUAAUAUCACAUACCAAGGCCACACACCAUCAAGGAUCUUGGAGCCAGUGCUGAUAUGGUACAUGCUGUUCAAGACAGGAGUUUUCCUCAUCAUAUCAAUAACUGUAGUGCUGAUAAUUGUGUGCCAGAAGCACUGAAAAAGACCUGAAUUUGUAAAUUAAAAACUAUAUCC